rnacentral:lncRNA from 1 species
AAUUUUCAGGAACGUUCCCAGCAAAAGUCUUCUUGCCGGAACUCCUGCCUCCUCCUGUCUCCCCCAAAUUCCCCACCGGCGAUUCAACGAUGGUGAUACCCCCGGUCCCCCGAUUCAAACGACCCAACAAUCACCGGAUUUCCAACAAGCCCAACAAUCUCAGGAUUUGGCUAUCACUGGAUUCCGGCGAUGGCAAGCUCCACCUCGCCCCGCCAUCAGCCUUUGACCGGGACCUACGUAAGCGGCCGGCGCCGCGGGCCACCACAUCCUGACGGCGACGGCGACCUCCCUCACUCUGCUGCUAGGGCCACUACUAUUCCUAUUUGACAUAGCUAGUUCUUAUUCUUUCUGCUGUGGAUUGUUUCAGACGCGACUAACAUGUGUUGGUGAGUAAACUUUUUCUAAAGGAACUGAAUUUCUGGAUGUGAAGUUGUGUUGUAAUGUGUUACUUGACUGAUACAUGUUGCAAUUUAAUUCACUAGUCCGACUAGCUGGUGGUGAUAUUUUUGCACCUGAUACUACUAUACGUCUAUACAUUCACUAGCUCGUGUACUGCUCAUGAGUGAAAGUUUCAGAAACAAUAGUAACUUUGUUUCUUUUCGGUGAAUGCAAUUGUUGAGGCUAAUGUGGUUCUGUAAUCCUUAGGUGUUCCUUGGCGAUACAUGCUGCAAUUUGGUACGGCGAUAUAUUCAGAAAAAAUAGAAAAA